CUGGGAGGUAGAGGUGAUAGUAGCGCCGUUGACUUGGAUGGAGACAGACACAGGAGUAGCAGCACUUGAGGGAGGAAAAACUAGAAGUUCUGUUUUGGACAGGUUGAGUUUAAGGAAGUGAGCAGCCAUCCAGUUGGAAAUAGCAGAGAGGCAGUCAGAAACACGAGUCAAGGUGGGCGGAGAGAGAUCGGGGAGGACAGGUAGAUAUGCGUGUCAUCUGCAUAUAAAUGGUAUUGGACGCCAAAGGAGCUGAUGAGUUUACCAAG
rnacentral:lncRNA from 1 species